rnacentral:pre_miRNA from 7 species
UUUUAUGAGGUCCCAUUUGUCAAUUCUCAAUCUUACAGCACAAGCUGAAAGACCCCCGAAGGGAGACCCUCACUCAAGCCUCGGGAUGUGGCGCGGACCCAAAGAGAGACGCGGAGACCG